GAUGAACGCUGGCGGCGUGCUUAACACAUGCAAGUCGAACGGGAAACCUUUUAUUGAAGCUUCGGCAGAUUUAGCUGGUUUCUAGUGGCGGACGGGUGAGUAACGCGUGGGUAACCUGCCUUAUACAGGGGGAUAACAGUCAGAAAUGGCUGCUAAUACCGCAUAAGCGCACAGAGCUGCAUGGCUCAGUGUGAAAAACUCCGGUGGGAUAAGAUGGACCCGCGUUGGAGUAGCUGGUUGGUGGGGUAACGGCCCACCAAGGCGACGAUCCAUAGCCGGCCUGAGAGGGUGAACGGCCACAUUGGGACUGAGACACGGCCCAGACUCCUACGGGAGGCAGCAGUGGGGAAUAUUGCACAAUGGGGGAAACCCUGAUGCAGCGACGCCGCGUGAAGGAAGAAGUAUCUCGGUAUGUAAACUUCUAUCAGCAGGGAAGAUAAUGACGGUACCUGACUAAGAAGCCCCGGCUAACUACGUG
rnacentral:rRNA from 1 species